rnacentral:rRNA from 1 species
GACGAACGCUGGCGGCGUGCCUAAUACAUGCAAGUUGAGCGCUGAAGGUUGGUACUUGUACCAACUGGAUGAGCAGCGAACGGGUGAGUAACGCGUGGGGAAUCUGCCUUUGAGCGGGGGACAACAUUUGGAAACGAAUGCUAAUACCGCAUAAAAACUUUAAACACAAGUUUUAAGUUUGAAAGAUGCAAUUGCAUCACUCAAAGAUGAUCCCGCGUUGUAUUAGCUAGUUGGUGAGGUAAAGGCUCACCAAGGCGAUGAUACAUAGCCGACCUGAGAGGGUGAUCGGCCGCAUUGGGACUGGGACACGGCCCAAACUCCUACGGGAGGCAGCAGUAGGGAAUCUUCGGCAAUGGACGAAAGUCUGACCGAGCAACGCCGCGUGAGUGAAGAAGGUUUUCGGAUCGUAAAACUCUGUUGGUAGAGAAGAACGUUGGUGAGAGUGGAAAGCUCAUCAAGUGACGGUAACUACCCAGAAAGGGACGGCUAACUACGUG